AUGGCUGUCCGCGGACGCGAAGGACUUCUUGGCCAGGUGCCUUGUCAGGCAGGCCGGCGACCGGUGCACCGUGUCGCAGCUCCUGGAGCACCCGUUCUUGGCCUCCGCCGGCAUCGUCGACGCGAAGCCGCAAGCCGUGGAGAGCAAAAGCAGAUGGGUGUCGCCGAAGACCACGCUGGACGCGGCAUUCUGGGAGUCGGAGUCAGACACCGAGGAGGCGGAGCACGAGAGCACGGCCGAGAUGAGAAUGAGAGCAUUGGCCUGCCCUGCAUCGGCGCUCCCGGACUGGGACUCGGACGAGGGAUGGAUCGAUGUGCUCUCCGGGCCAUCGGAAGCAGUUCCGGUGCCGGCCGAGGAGACGGCUGA
rnacentral:rRNA from 1 species